rnacentral:rRNA from 1 species
UGAACGCUGGCGGCGUGCCUAAUACAUGCAAGUCGAGCGAACGGACGAGUAUCUGGCUUUUCUGAUGUUAGCGGCGGUCGUGUGAGUAACACGUGUGUAACCUACCUAGUAGAUGGGGAUAUCUGUGGGAAACCGGAGCUAAUACCGGAUAAUAUGUGUGAUCGCAUGGUUCAAAAGUGAAAGACGGUGUGUUUGUUCGUGAUAGAGUGUGCCGCGCUGCAUUAGCUAGUUGGUAAGGUAACGGCUUACCAAGGCAACGAUGCAUAGCCGACCUGAGAGGGUGAUCGGCCACACUGGAACUGAGACACGGUCCAGACUCCUACGGGAGCACGCAGUAGGCACACUUCCGCAAUGGGCGAAAGCCUGACGGAGCAACGCCGCGUGAGAGAUGAAGGAAUUCGGAUCGUAAAACUCUGUUAUUAGGGAAGACAAAAAAUGUAAGUAACUGUGCACAUCUUGACGGUACCUAAUCAGAAAGCCACGGCUAACUACGUG